AACUUAUCAAGAGUGGUGGAGGGACUGGCCCUAUGAAACCCAGCAACCGAUCAAGUAAUGAUUUACGAUGACGUGGUGCUAAUUCCAACAGCGUUAGCUGAAAGAUAAGAG
rnacentral:ncRNA from 2 species